rnacentral:rRNA from 1 species
GGACCCGCACAAGCGGUGGAGCAUGUGGUUUAAUUCGAAGCAACGCGAAGAACCUUACCAAAUCUUGACAUCCCCCUGACAGUACUGUUAGAGGUAUUUCCUUCGGGACAGGGGAGACAGGUGGUGCAUGGUUGUCGUCAGCUCGUGUCGUGAGAUGUUGGGUUAAGUCCCGCAACGAGCGCAACCCUUAUGAUCAGUAGCCAGCAGGUAAAGCUGGGCACUCUGGUCAGACUGCCGGGGAUAACCCGGAGGAAGGUGGGGAUGACGUCAAAUCAUCAUGCCCCUUAUGAUUUGGGCUACACACGUGCUACAAUGGCGUAAACAAAGGGAAGCAGCCCCGUGAGGGUGAGCGAAUCCCAAAAAAGACGUCCCAGUUCGGAUUGUAGUCUGCAACCCGACUACAUGAAGCUGGAAUCGCUAGUAAUCGCGAAUCAGAACGUCGCGGUGAAUACGUUCCCGGGUCUU